GUCUUUUGUCUUUUGUCUUUUUAGGGCCGCACCUGUGGCAUAUGGAGGUUCCCAGGAUAGGGGUCAAAUCAGAGCUAUAGCCGCCAGCCUACACCACAGCCAUAGCAAUGCAGGAUCCAAGCCGCAUCUGUGACCUAUACCACAGCUCAUGGCAAUGCUGGAUCCUCAACCCACUGGGCGAGGCCAAGGAUUGAACCCACAACCUCAUGGUUCCUAGCUGGAUCCAUUUCCACUGCGCCAUGAUGGGAACUCCCCAACUGCUUUUCAAUACUAAAAGUUACCAUCUUUACUACUCCAUCAGGCACACUGGACCAAUCUCUUGGAGGAGGAUCUUUGAUGAUUGUGGGUGGGGUCUGGUACCUGGAGGGCUCAGGUGGGCGACACCCCCCCAGGCCCCUUCAGUCAAACAUUCAUGUUUAUGCUGCAUGCAAACACCACUCACUAAAAUCUCACACAGGGUUAAAAUGUCUCAUUCUACUUAGUUGAUUCCUGAGUACUAUAUUCUUAUUGUCAUUCUAAAUAUUGAGACUAAAUACCAAUAAAUAGUCCAACUUACUGUCUUCUUGUCUGUCCAGUUCUAAAGAAUGAGGUUCACCAGAGCAUCGGGACCAUUUGCCCACAUGUCUUUUGAAAGCCAUAAAAUACGUCAUGUAGCAGUGUUACUUUGAUAAAGUAUAGGCUACCAUAACACACAGGUUUACAAUAUUUUUUUUCUCUUUUGUGAGCUUCAUUGUGUAGGUGGUUCUGAAACUGGCAAUUAAGAUAUAUUUAAGUGCACAUUCAGAUUCAUACCACCUGCAUCUCCAUAAAUACAAGACAGUCCCUUUAAAUAGCGACAGUGUGGUCUUCCUGGAUUGACCACUGUGUUUGAUCUAAAUGAAUGGGUCAAGCAUCUUUCCAAGGGUCUCCACGAUCAUGUUUAUUUUCAUGGCGUGGAGCAAUCAGACCACUGAUGCCAUGUCACAAGAUAGAAUUCACAGAAUUUUCUUUUUCAGACUAUUUGCAGAGACUUCAAGGUUCUGCUUUAUACUUCCUGUUUCUAACCACUGUUAUAUGUUCCCAUUUUAAACUAUAAUUUAUAAACAGUUUAAAAUUCUACUUUUAAAUUGCUAAAUAGAAAUGAUGCUCAAACCACAAAACCCUAAAUUUUUGGAAUCCUCCUGUUAGACUAAGAAUUCCAAUUUUUUUGAGAGAAGGGGUUAUUUUUGUUUUGCAUCCAUACACUGCCUUUUCAUUUUUAGUAUCUGCUGACUGAAAUAACAUGGGGUAAGUCAAUGUGUUUGACACCAUUUUUUCCAAGCCAGUUCGUUUGGCGCAAAAUACUUUUUAGAAAAGCAGUGUGACUACUUGAGGAUGUUCUGACCAAAAACUGAAGAGGGUGAAAUACAGCUGGGGUUCAGGACACUGCCACAGCCCCACCAGCAAGAGGAAAGGAUACUUUUCAGUCAUUUACUUUACGUCAUUUUGUUCCCUACACUGCAGGCUUGAAGAACAGCAACAAUGCCUCAAAAAUUAGAAGAUGUUGAAAAGUAGCCUCCUGAUUGGGUCAUAAAAUCACUACUGCCAUCAAAGUAUACACACUAACUCUCUUUAAUAUUCAAGUAAGAUUGGAACUAUGUAAGGAGCCCCUAGAAUAUGCAUCUUUUCUGACUUAUCUCUCAAUAUUAUAUUUGAGAUUAACAUUUUUUUGCAUGUAGAAGCAGUAAAUUCAUUUUCAAUGCUGCAUAACAUUCCAUUUUAUAAACAUGCCGUCAUUUCUCUAUUUUGUUUUAUUUAGGAAUUUGGAUUAUGUUUGGACUAAUCAGAUUAAGAGUGCCAUAAAGAUUAUUGUGUGUGGAGUUCCCGUUGUGGAGAGGCACAAAUGAAUCUGACUAGGACGGUGAGGUUGUGGGUUUGAUCCCUGGCCUUGCCCAGUGGGUUAAGGAUAUGGCAUUGUAGUGAGCUGUGUUGUGGGUCACAGAGGUGGAUUGGAUCCUGAGUUGCUGUGGCUGUGGCUGGCAGCUGUAGCUCCAAUUAGACCCCUAGCCUGGGAUUUUCCAUAUGCCGUGGGUGUGGGCCUAAAAACAAACAAACAAACAAACAAAGGAUUGUGUGUAUCCUGGUCCACAUGUGCACACAUUUUGAUUAAACAUAGAAAUGAGUGGAGGAGUUCCUAUCAUGGCUUAGUGGUUAAUGAACCCGACUAGUGUCCUUGAGGAUGCAAGUUUGAUCCUUGGCCUUACUCGGUGGGUUAAGGACCCGGUUGCCAUGAGCUGUGGUGUAGGUCACAGAUGUGGCUCAGAUACCGAGUUGCUGUGGCUCUGGCAUAGGCCAGCAGCUGUAGCUCUGAUUAUACCCCUAGCCUGGGAACCUCCAUAUGCCAUGGGUGGGUCUCUAAAAAGACAAAAAUCAAAAAAGAAAAACAGAGAAAUGAGUGGAAAUGCUGGGUUUUAAAGAAUCUGGAUUUUCAAUUAUAGGAGGCCAAAAGCGGUUGUUUCAAUUAACCUCCCCACCCAACCCUGCUGGUACAUACCCUCUCCAAGAUAGCAUUUUCAGUCUUUUAAAUUGCAGCCAUUAUAAUAUUUAUUUACUGUAUCUCUGUAUGCUUUAUUAUUAUUAUUAUUAUUUCUUUUUAUGGCUAUACCUGUGGCAUUUGGAAGUUCCCAUGCUAAGGGUCAAAUGGAGCUGCAGCUGAGGACUAGGUCACAGCCAUGGUGUUGCUGGAGCCUUAACCCACUGAUCGAGGCCAGGGAUUUAACCUGCUUCUUCACAGACAAAAUGUAGGGUUCUUAAUCCAUUGAGCCACAACGGGAACUCUUCUCUUUAUGCUUUAAAUGUGCAUUCCUUUGAUUACUCCUUCAUUUGAAUAUUUUGAAUAGUCUAUUAACUAUUUAGAUAUCUUCUUUUGUAACAUGCCUUUAAUUGCCAUUUUUGUAUUGUGCUGUUAGGUUAAUUUCUACCCCUCCCAUUGAAUUAUAGUUCUAUAAAUCUUUAUCUGUUAUGUGUGUUUAAAAUACCUUUUUUUGUACACUGUGGCUUGCCUUUUUACCCUAUUAACGAUGGCUUUUGAUAAGCAGAGUUUCUUUAUGUUACCGUAGUCUGAUUAAUUAUCUUUAUUUUUCAUGGCCAGUACUCUCUGCAAUCUAGUGUAAAGGUCUUUCACUGAAUUCAUGAAGAAAAUCUUUCAUGUUUCUAUAUAACUUCUAGAAACCAAGAAAAUCAGCCUAAGGACAUAGAUCUCAAGACCCUUUCCCCUGUGUACUCCUUGCUGAGAGCCCCUGGGACGUGAUUUGGAAGGUGAAAGAGGAAAGAGGCAUAAUUCCACAGAGGCUUUUGCAGCUGAUGCAUGGGCUGGCCUGAGAUGUGUGGUGACUUUCUGCUGAGGCCUUGAGAGCCACCCAUUUCACUCCUGCAGCCUGUGGUAUUUGUGGGAGCAUCUGAGCAUUUCCUGAUAGUUGUAGCAGCUUUGGAGAAGCUUUUGAGAAGUCCUACUUUGGUGCUUCCAGCUGAGUGCAGUAAUUUUCCCUGGUGGCUUCCCGGAUCUUCAGCCCUCUAGCCUCCCAGAGCCUCUAGCAGCCUCCAGUGGUGGUGUUUAAUGCUCUGAACCUGGAACACAUAUUAGGAGCUGGUCUCUUUCUGACUGACCUCCUACUUGGCUCUGCUAUGUUGUCUUGUCUCUUUAUAAGCCUGGUUAUCUUGAUUGUCAGACACUGUAUUCCUAAGAGUGCUUUUUACUUAAUUUUUUUUUUUUUGCUUUUUAGGGCUGAACCUGCAGCAUACAGAAAUUCCCAGGCUAAGGGUCCAAUCAGAGCUACAGUUGCUGGCCUACACCACAGCCACAGCAAUGCCAGAUCCGAGCUGUGUCUG
rnacentral:lncRNA from 1 species